rnacentral:lncRNA from 1 species
GUCACUACCAGUCUCUGCGUCUUGGUGGUAGUGGUCCCCCGGGCCCAGCUGUCUUUUCUUCUCUUUGUCUUGUGUCUUUAUUUCUAUGAUCUCUCCUCUCCGCACACAGGGAGAAAGACCCACAGACCGUGUACGGCUAGUCUCUACAGUUUGCUAUUGUGCAUUGUGGAGAGGACUAGAGAGGGCAAGAGUCUGCCAUCUUAUCCAGGUCAGAAAUGGAGGAGUUAAGUUUUGGAAAUAAUUUUUAGUGUAAUACUUUUAUGAUCUGAAGGAGAAAGCAAAUAUUUUGCUUGGUCUGUAAGGCUAAUUACUUCUGGAUAAUGAAGUAAUGGUAAGCCUGGUAAAUUCCAUUGGUAUUAGUCAUUACCUGCUUUCUUUUACUCUGAGGUGAGUUCCAUUGCCAGGCGCAAUGUUGUUUGAGAUACCCUGAUUGGACAUCGUGGAUUUGCAGGAACAAGCAUGAUGUCAGGAAAAGAAAACUUCAGCUAGAAACAAUUUUUAUUCCAUUGAGGACUAGUUGCUCUCCUGCACAUGAUGACAGGAGUAAAAUAUAAUUGACUUGUCAGAAGGUAUUCAGUUGGUCCCAGAAGGUAUAGUAUCAUCUCAGGAGCUCAAGGAUAAACACUUCUGUGAUGAAGGUCUUCAUACAUAAAUCUUAUGCUAUGCUUUAACUCCCUUUGUUAGAGAGUCCGUAAGAACUUUGGAGACAGUCUGCCUACAUUCAGAUUCUGGUGUGUAGUGUUGUGCAGGCUGUAUAUCAGCCGAGGCAAAUGGUACCUCCUGAUACAGUGCAAAGCAUAACCUGCACAGCCAUACAUGGCAGCCCUGAAUCUUGGCUCUGCCAUAUACUUACUGUAUGAACUUUUACAAGUCCUUUUACAGUUCUGCUGCCUCAGUUUCUGCAUCAAUAAAGUAGAGAAAAUAAUACCUUAUAGGCCCAGCAUAUAGCAAUUGGUAUGUAUGUUGUUGUUAUUAUUGUCAAUGAGUAUGACUUUCGUUGCAAACUAUCAAGUAAUCCUAUAAACUCUGGCUGAUGUCAUGGUUUAGAUUUAAGGCUCUUCAAGAACUACAGAACAAAGUAGAUAUACUCUUGGUGCCAUGUUGAGGAGGGUUGAAAUACUAAGCCACAUUUUUCAGAAAGGAGAUGAAGCACACAUAUGGAAAGUCAGAUGGCCCUACAGGGGAAUGGAAGCCCCAGAGGACAGGUGUGAUUACGGGGUUAUGAUUUCAAAAGAGGAAAAAACAGUGAAGGAGGCAAGUGGAGAGGAGUUUGCUGGAUGAGAAGGCUUCCCUGGGGAGAAGGGUAUUGGGGGAGAUGAUUGCAAGCUCUCUUAGUAGCAGGUGGAGCAGUAGUCUGGUUCCUACCGGAGGCAGAUGUUUAGGCACCAUCUGUCACAGUUAAUUCUGAGUCUGGGUGUUUCGCAUACCUUUGGCUUCAUGGGAUGAGUCACAUGCUUGCAUCUGUUCUCCCUCUCUGAACAUUUUCCUCCUGAAUGAUGAUCACCCUAUUAACCAACACCAAAAAUUUUCAAAGGAAUGCUUUCAGAAAGAUGCAAAACGCAGAGAAUGUGUGGCCAAACUCAUCUGGUUUCAGAAGAUCUCUUGUCCUCAGAUAUGUCUACUCUCAUUAAAACAAAGUAUGAAGAUUUCCAUGGCUGGGGACACAGGCAGUGUCUUUGAUGAGGUCCUCUCAAGAUAGCUUAAGCGUGGACUAAACUUCAUAGGGUCCACAUGAAAAAUUGGCUUCAUUGAUCCACUAAAUUCUCAAGCUCUCUCACAUUCCAGCCUCAUCACAAGAUUCUCUGGCUGUGCAAACCUUCAGCCAGGGAGGAAGUUUCAACUUGUUCCUCCUAUCUGACAAUGCCAAUCCCCAAAAAUUAGUUUUUGGGAACUCCGUCUGUUGUUUUGGGGUAGGUGAGGGGCAAGAAUCUUCUCUAAUGAUUCCCCCUUUAAUUAACACAAAUCUUCUUUCACGUAAGCUGGAUGUUAAAGAUGGGCUGAAUGAGUUUGGUGGCUUAGUGAGCCAAGUCAGCAUAGGCUAAAUGCUAUAACAAACACCUCAGUGGCUUUAAAUGGUCAUGUCAUUGACGAAAGUGGUCAAUAUGUUGGUGGUUGUAGAGGAGCUCUGCUCUGUGUAGUUGCUCAGUAUCUAGACUUCUUUCACUAGUGUAUUUGCUGUAUUCUAUGUGAAUGGUCUUAUUUUGUGCCAUGGCUUCCUUUGGUAGUCUGUUAAAACCAAUAGAGUGUGGUUAAAAAUGAUAUUGUGUUGGUUCUGAGCCUGGGACUCAGGAAACUUUGCACAUUUCUGCUCUUUUUCUUCAAAUCCUGCCACUUCCAAAUGAACAAGCCUGGAUUUGUCUGCUGGAAAAUGAGAGACACGUGGCCAGCUGUGCAGUCACCCCAGCCUAUAGCUAGCCAAACUCCAGAAGGAGAGAAGGUCGCUGACCUGCCUCUGACUGUGGACACAAAAGGGAGCCAUGACAAGACUAGACGAAUCACCCAACAAGCUUGGCCUAAGUUGCUGACCUGCUGAAUUAUGAUAUAAAUAAAUGGUUGUUAUUUUAAGCCACUACGUUUGGGGUGGUUUGUUUCAUAGAAAUAAUUCACUGAUACAAGGAAGAUAACUUUCCUUUUAAUUGACAUGGCUGGUUGGUGAGAUAGUUCCUUUCACUUACGUUGCAUUGCUGAAAGCUAGUUAUCAGGCCUCCCUUACAUGGAAGAGGAGACUAUAAAAUGUAGUCCAGCAGUGUAACCAGAAGAGGCAGAGGACAUGGAUAUCGGUGGAUCCCCGUCAUAAGCACUUACUCAUUUUUCUGGGGCAAUGGACACACUUUCUGUUGACUUCUUACAAAUCUUGGAGUCUCAGCUGAAGCUUCUGUACAAAGUCAGAAUUAUUAUGUAAAAUCUUGUUGUGCCUUGUGAUAGAGAAGAUCACUAUCUUAUGUUCUGAUGACUCUCCAAAGAGGGUAGGAUUCUGUUUAAGUAGUCUCAGGGCCUGGUUAUCUUUAUUUCAAGGAGAGAAAGGAGGAAGCUUAGUGUAGGCCGACAGGUCUGAGCCAUAACCUUCAACUGCAUUUUUCAAGCCCCUCUAGUUUCUUGUGUAUAUUUCCUGUGGUGAGGAACCCCACUGGGAAGAGAGGUCAUGGCAGGAUUUAUGCAUUCUUGUGUUGUUGUGUUGUGAUUUCUGUCAUCACAGCAGAAUCAAUAUCUUUGUUUAUUGUUCUUAGGAGUCAGUAUCCAGUCUAUUGUCUAUAGUUCUAGUAGCAUGAUUUAUGAUUCAUGAGUUUAAAUGAUGUCUCAACACUGUAACACCACACACAGACACUGUAGAUUAUGUUAGAGGGAACACAAUGCGUCAGACAGACCCAGGUCUCAAUCCCUUCUUUUCUACUUACUAACUUUGUGACCUUGGGUAAAUUCUUUAAAUUCAGGUGCCUGUUUCCCUUUAGCAAAAUGUAGACAAUCAUAGCAAACAUCCCUGUUUCUUGUAAGCAUUACAUGAAAGAAAGAAUGUGAAAGUACUUGGCACUCGUAGAUGCUCUGCAAAUGCUAACUGAAUCUAAAUUAGAGGAGAAGCAAGCUAGUGUUUUAAAACAUACUUUAAUAAGUAGAAAUAGAUCACAAUGUUGAGUUAAUCAUAGCACAUUGUAAUCAUACAUCCAUGUAAGGCCCCUCUCUUGUGUGAAUCCAUUAAUUUUUCCUUUAUCCCUGUUUCACUGUCUCAUUUAUCUUCUUCCAUAGGUAUCUGUUACAUACACUUUAUAUAUAAUCAAAUUUAUUUAUCUUUGAAAAAUAGUUUGUUGUAUGUAAAGUUGGAUUGUUUGUAACUCACAAGAUAAAUUCUUGAGGGAACAGGUACCCCAUUCGUCAUGAUGUGCCUAUUUCACAUUGCAUGCCUGUAUCAAAACAUCUCAUGUACCCCCUAAAUAUAUAUAACUACUAUGUACCCACAAAAUUUUAAACAAGUUUAUGCAAAUGGCAUUAUACUAUAAAUUUCUGUCUUUUUAAAAACUUUUCACCCAGCAUGUUUUAAAUGAUUGUCCAUGGUGCUGAAUGCUGUCUCAUUCAUGACUUUUGAGGCUAAAUAAUGUUGCGUUACAUUUUCUACCUUUAACUUACCCAUUCCCCAAUUGUUGGAUACCUACGUUCUCUCCAAUACCAAAAAUAUGCAUUAAAACAUCUUCUAAAAUGCAUUUUUACCAACCUGCUGGAAAAUUUCUCUAGGAUAUAUGCCCAAGAGAGGGACUUAUGGAUCACAGAUGUGUGCAUACUUAUUUUAUUGAGGACACAACCAGACGGCUUUCUAGGAGGGCCGUACCAGUUUAUACAACUGUCAGUAGUGCAUGAGGAGCCGGUUUUCUGACAUCUUCACCAUCUUUCUAAUUUUUGUAUUAUAAUGGAUAUACAAUGGUAUCUCACUGUCAUUUUAGUUUUUAUUUAUCUAUAUACUUGUGUGUGUAAGAGUCUCCUUAUAUGUAUUUUGGCCAUUCAGGAAUCCCUUCUCUGCAUCAUCUCCUCAUGUCCUAGGGAAUCAGUUUUCUCAAUGCUAUAUGCCAACCAAAUCAUCCCUUCCCUAUUGCUUUAAAGAGUCACAUCUACUGUGAAUCAAAGUCACACGCAAACAAAUCUAUUUCUGAGGUCUCUAUUCUGUUCCGAUUUGUUCUAUUUAUCUCUAUCCAUGUUAGUCCAUACUGUUUAUAUAACAAUGGCCUUUCCUACAUCUUAAUAUCAUAAAGAAUAAUGUGCUCUCCCCACCUCAUCUUUCCUCUUUUAUUUCAAAACUGACUUAGCUCUUCAUGAAUUCUAUUCUUCCUUUGUAUCCUCAGUGCCAAUUUAUUAGCUUGUUGUCCCAACGCAGUUUAUUGAAAGAGCUAGCUUUUAAUAACUAAUGUGGUGUUAAUCACUCAUCUACAUUUCUAAGAUAUAGUAUGUAGUGUUCUUAGUUUUGCUAAUUUUUUUCUAGUCAUCAUUUUCUUUUCCUCUUUAACCAAAGAGUUAUUUUAGAGAGUGACUUUUAACAACUCAAAGUGACUCUAUUUUUAGGGUUAAUAUGUUCUUAUUAGUCUCUAGUUUUACUGCACUUUGCUUAGAGAUGUGGUCUGCAUAAUAUAUACUUUUUAGAAUUAUAGAUUGUCUUUGUGGUCUAAUAUGAUAGAUUUAUGUGAAUGAGCCAUGGGCACUGGAAAUCUAUUCUCCAUAGAGUUAAAGUUUGGUAAUUAUUAGACCAACCUUUAUUAUUUAACUCAAAGCCUUUUAUCUAGUAUUAGUAAACCAUAGGGGGCCACAAAGAAGUUCAUGAAUGGGCUUCAAGGUAUCCAUAAAUUCCCUGACAUGCAGGCAAUAUGCACAUGCUUCUGAGUGAGGAGAGAAAAUUCAUGAGAUUCCCAUAGGGGUCCAAGAGUCUAAAAAGAUGAACAACUACAGGAUUAAUUUUUGUUUUAUGUUUGUUUAUUUAUAUCUAUUUGAUCUGUCAAUAGCAUUAUAACUGUGCUUUUAACAAUUUUGUCUUGUUUUUAUACUUCUUUUCAUUCUAUAUAUUGAAGCAAUGUUGACUGAUGCAUAUUUGUGGAUAUUUAUAAUGUAACUACAUAUUUUAUUCUUUUCAUUAUAAAAUGUUAAUUAUAAAGUCAUUAAGAAUCCUUUUUAAUAUAUUUGCCCUGAAUUCAGCAGUGUCUGAUUUUAUUACUCAAUUGUAGCUUUCAGUUUAUUUGUGUUUGUCUGAUGUAUUUUUUCAACUUUAGGCUUUUUGCUUAGUUGGAUUCUUUUUGUAUCAAUUAUAUUUAAUACGGAAUUUUAAUCUUUCUAUGUUCAUUGCAAUAAAUGAUAUAUUUGCUCCUACUUCUGUCAUUUUGUUUUUAUUUGGUUGUUGAUGUUCAUGCUUUGCUUUUUUUGUCAUUUCUGUCUUUUGCUGUAUGUUAGAUGCAUUCAUUGUUUUUCUUUUCU